rnacentral:rRNA from 1 species
UACAGAGGUCUCAAGCGUUGUUCGGAUUCAUUGGGCGUAAAGGGUGCGUAGGCGGCGCGGUAAGUCGGGUGUGAAAUCUUGGAGCUUAACUCCGAAACUGCAUUCGAUACUGCCGUGCUUGAGGACUGGAGAGGAGACUGGAAUUUCCGGUGUAGCGGUGAAAUGCGUAGAUAUCGGAAGGAACACCUGUGGCGAAAGCGGCUCACUGGACCAUAACUGACGCUGAUGCACGAAAGCUAGGGGAGCAAACAGG